CCCCCAACUAUCUAUUAAUCAUUACGUCAAUCUUAGAAACCAACAAAAUAAGAUCGAUCGUCCUAUUUCAUUAUUCCAUGUUAAUGUAUUCAAGCGUUAGCCUGCUUUAAACACUCUAAUUUUUUCAAAGUAACAGUCCAGUUUCCCCGCAACACCAAAUUAAUGGCCAUUACGGUUCAUCAGGAAGGAGGAACCAGUAAGACCAGUGCAUACCAGUGGCACGACCAACCUACUGACCCCGAAAUUCAACU
rnacentral:rRNA from 1 species